rnacentral:rRNA from 1 species
UACAGAGGGGGCGAAGCGUUAUUCGGAAUUAUUGGGCGUAAAGGGCGCGUAGGCGGCCUGGCAAGUGGAAGGUGAAAUCCCUCGGCUUAACCGAGGAACUGCCCUCCAAACUGCUUGGCUUGAGACCGGGAGAGGUGAGUGGAAUUCCCAGUGUAGCGGUGAAAUGCGUAGAUAUUGGGAGGAACACCAGUGGCGAAGGCGGCUCACUGGACCGGAACUGACGCUGAUGCGCGAAAGCGUGGGGAGCAAACAGG